rnacentral:piRNA from 1 species
UAGGUAUGCUGGGAUUUGUUUUACCUUGU